UGGGGAAUAUUGCGCAAUGGGCGAAAGCCUGACGCAGCAACACCGCGUGAGGGAUGACGGCCUUCGGGUUGUAAACCUCUUUCAGCUCCGACGAAGCGAAAGUGACGGUAGGAGCAGAAGAAGCACCGGCUAACUACGUGCCAGCAGCCGCGGUAAUACGUAGGGUGCAAGCGUUGUCCGGAAUUAUUGGGCGUAAAGAGCUCGUAGGCGGUCCGUUGCGUCUGCCGUGAAAACCCGGAGCUCAACUCCGGGCCUGCGGUGGAUACGGGCGGACUAGAGUCCGGUAGGGGAGACUGGAAUUCCUGGUGUAGCGGUGGAAUGCGCAGAUAUCAGGAGGAACACCGGUGGCGAAGGCGGGUCUCUGGGCCGGAACUGACGCUGAGGAGCGAAAGCGUGGGGAGCGAACAGGAUUAGAUACCCUGGUAGUCCACGCCGUAAACGGUGGGCGCUAGGUGUGGGGAUCGUUUCCACGAUCUCCGUGCCGUAGCUAACGCAUUAAGCGCCCCGCCUGGGGAGUACGGCCGC
rnacentral:rRNA from 1 species